AGCAUGUUAGCUCAGGGGAAGAGCGGUAAUUUUUCACGUGACCUGCAGAAUUUGACCAAUAGCUAACGUUUCACAGCCGGGCUCAUAACCCGGAGGUACGAUUUCACCUCACCAACCAAUCACAAUCCGAUUCCUAACGAACAAUAUAGGUCCCUGGAUCGAAACCAGGACAUGCUA
rnacentral:tRNA from 1 species